CCACACAUAAGAUUACUUAUCUUUGUUUAGCUUUCUACUUCUGGUCGGUCCCUUCAUAAAUCUAUAUUUAUGAUAACCAAAGCUGGUAUCCAAUAUCUAAGUAGAACCUUGACUUAAAGAAAAAUUUAUUUCAUUCAUGAACAAAACUGUAUUUGUAACCGAAGCUUCACUAAGCUUCUUCUGGUUAGCUCUGCAAGAUGCUUCUCACAGUUUGUUUUCCAGUGUCCAGGCUUAUUGCAGUGGAAGCAAACUCCUUUGUUAUCCGUAACAGUUUUGUUCUUAUUAUCCUUUAUUUUUGUCUUUCUAUUUACCUUCUCUGAAUCGUUCUUCUUUUCAGAAGAUCCUUUGGCCCCUGCCAGUAAGACAUGGUCAUUGGAAAGUGACUCUCAACAUUUUUCAACAUGUUAAGCAAAUUAGCUAGGCUGAUAUCUAGCUUGUUCAUAUAAAAAAUUCACAACAACUGUGAAAGGAGUCCGGGAGUAAGUGCAAGAUCAAAUCUUGGCUCAACUCUCCAUCCAUGACAAAAACUGUUGUCCUAAUUGAUCAAUCAAAUUGAUAAUGUUAAGGACUUUUAUCUGUACUGUAGUGUCAUCGAUUAUUCUAGAUCGGAAGAGCUCCUUAGAUAUCUGAUAUCUAUCAACCCUACUUUUCUCACCAUCAACUACUUGAUGUGCAAG
rnacentral:lncRNA from 1 species